AGAUUUGGAGAGCACAGGUCCUUAGGCUGCGAUGGUUCGAAUGCUGACCCUGAGGUUGUGUGGUAGGGAAGAUACCAUAGGGUGUUUGUUGAAGUUGGUCAGAAAUUAAGUUUGUGUGAUAAUGAUCACUCUUGGUGGCCCCUAUAGACUGCAUUUGCUUCUCCUGAUAAAGCAAAUGCAAGCUUGCCAAAUUACUUUGCUCCGGCUUAACCCUACUCCAGAAUGAAUCCAUAAAUGCUACAAAAGGAUAGCUUAUGAACAUAUGCUACACAGAACUCAGAGAGCAUCCUGCCUACUUAAUCCCCUUCUUACUUCAGAGGGGGGAGAUAGUCUGUUUAUACUUGAACUGAGAAUUGAGGGAUCACAAAAAUGAAUGCCAUGCUAGAAAUCACCAGUUGUGUUUUCUCAUUUCCUUUAGAGCCACGGGUUGAUUUUUCAAUACAGCUGUGUCAAUGGGGAAAUGUGCUGCUCUUUCUAUUCACUCCCAAUUAUGCUACUGUGUCUAAAUGCCUUUUGAGGAAAUGCAAGUUCCUCUUGUUUCAACACAGAGUGUUCGUCUUAAUGGAUGCUGAGGAUUGGAGGUCAUUAUUUGCAUCCCACCCCUGGCCCAAUAUACCCCUCCAUGGCUUUCCAUUUAGAUGAUCGCAGAUGCUGAAAGGCAUGUCCCUCCCUUAUGUUCCUGGAGUGAUUCUUCCACAGAGAGGUACAUGAAAUCGCAAUAGAUGUACACUAACUCAGAAGUUCAGUAGCAUACCCUGGUACUUAGAAUGACUACUGGUCCUUCUGGUUCGAGGUGAUCCCCUGAAAAACAGUUCAUGUUUUUCCUUGCUGGCAUACUUACUUGCGGACACCCACAGAAGCUGCUCUGCAAGCUUUCUAACCCUGAAGUACCUCAGAUUUUUUGAUUCCACUCUGCUUGCUGUGUGCCUCCCCACCCUGGAGCUCUGGAGGGCUCUAGCAGGUCAGCUUCAGUCUCUCUGCAUCUCCAGGAAAUGAAUGUGAUUCUACUGCCUGUGUCUUAUUUAAUGUGCGUCUGUAUCUUCCAGCUGUCUUGGACUAGGGGUCUACGGGGCCAUUCUGUUUGACACCAAAGGCAUUAUCUGUGUAUAGCUAGUCAUAAUGAAUAACUGUAAACACGAUUAGAUGCCUACCCAAAGGGUGUGUUAGCCGAGAGGUGUGUGAAUCUGCUUGGAGGGGCAACAGCUGAGAUGUCAGAGUAGUUUACCAUCUCCAGGGUAGGGGCACUGGGAGAGUGUUUUCUGUCUGAAAAAUAUUUCAGGCAUUAGAUCCUAAACAUCCCGUCCUGUGGCUGCAGGUGCUUGUCCCUCUGAUUUGAAACGUGGUAUUAGAAGUAUAGGAGAUUCAUGGCAAGAAAGAGAUGAAAAAUGCAGGGGCUUCAAAAUGGGAGCAAAUUGUAGUCAUCAUCAACCCUGGAUACAUUUGUUGAGAUGCAUUCAUGAGCUCUUUGCAUGUGAAUCUGUGCCCCUUCAUAACAAUAGUCCUGCUUCCCUGCUCCGUUCUUCCUAUAAACAUUAAAAACUCUGGCAAACAGGGAAGACAUUAUGACAGUGAAUGAAAGCAUGUGGGUGUCACCUUGUAACAACAUGGAACCAUUAAGCCAUUAAUAUUUAUCAUGGUAUUGUGAUCUGGUCUGAAAAUUCAGCUAGCAUCUUUAAGCUUAUUGUAUACUUCAGGUAAUGUGGUAGUCACUUUUCUUGAAUUCUGUCAUUUAAUCUUUACUGUACCCAAUGGGGCAGAUAUUAUUCUUCAGAAUUUAAGAGAUGAGGGAACAGGAGUUCAGAGAAGUUAAGUGGCUUGACCAAGACUGCACAACUUGUAAAGAGGAGACACUUUAAAGAGAGAGUGUAGCAGAUCUUUAUCCAGCUAGGGCAAGGGAAGGAGAUCUUGUCAUUUCUCUGAAAAGACACACUGAUGGGAUUUGUGCUAUGUUUCUUGGUGACUUUGAACAGUGUUGAGAUAAUUUGGGGACAUGCCUUAGGCAUGCAGGUGUUCCUUUCUAUGAAGCUAAUCUGUUGUCAUACAUUCAUUCAUUUGAAUGAAUGGUUGAUUCAUUUGGAUUCAUGCCCUUCAUUUUUCUAUAAAUUAGGCACCUGUUUUGAUGAGAACUAGAUGUUAAGCACAAUGGAAAAAUGAUAGACUAUUGGAAAUUUGAUUGGAGAGGAGGAUAUCCAGGGAGAGCUAGAAUACAUGACCCUUUGUUGUGAAUGUGGCAAUAAGCAGAAGAAUUUAGGAGCUUGCUCCAGGAGUUAUUGGGGUGACCUCUAGGUAAUAUGUCUCCUGCUAUUGGGACCUCCUGUUAGUAUUCCAGAAAUUUGGUUUCAGCACAGGGACUGGCAUUUUUUCUGUACUUUGAGCCACAGUGAAGAGACCUAUUAACAGCAUGUGAUUUCUUUGUGAUGGGUAAUUUGUGAGCUCAGAUGUGUAUGUCUAAAAGAGAUGGUGCAUAGGUGUGGAGAAAGGACCUUCAUAUCAAACAGUGCAGGGAACUUCCUUUAUGAGACAUGCAAGGACAGCCCCAGAUAUAAAUAAUUUUGGGGAGAACAACAGUCUGCUCAUUCAUACCUUUAUUUCUUAUAGCUUGUGACACCCAGCCUUCACCCAUGAUCCUUCAGAUUCUCACUGCCCUUCCUACUUUUUGGUGGUUGCUCCUCCUUUAAUGAGGGGAUAAGAUAGAGAGGUAUUGAGAGCACUGAUAUCACUCAUUUACUCUUUUAUUUUUUCUUUUUAUGGCUCAUCUGAAGCAUAUGGAAGUUCCUGGGCUAGUGGUCGAAUAGGAGCUGCAGCUGCUGGCCUACACCACAGCCACAGCAACACCAGAUCUGAGACAUAUCUGGUACCUACCCCGCAGCUGGUGGCAAUGCUGAAUCCUUUACCCACUGAGCGAGGGUAGGACUUAAACCCACCUCCUCACUGAUACUAUGUCAAUUUCUUAACCUGCUGAGCCCAAUGGAAACUCCUACUCUUUAGUGAGAAUUUAAUCAACAGUUUAUUACACUAUUUCAUGUGGUACAUGAGAUGAUUUUAUGUAAUAUAUAAGUGGACACAUUUUUGUUAGUCACAUUCAUUUUUUUAGGCUUCCUUCUAUUUAUGGCAAGUGAUAUUGGCUAUAUACAAGAGGUAUUGUAUAUUUAAAGUAAUUAUAUAAGUGGUCUUUCAAAAAAUUAACUGAUCUUGGCAAAAUUGUGUUAAGAGGAAAAUACUGUAUUAAUGAUAGAACAUUUGUUCACAGAUAUUAUAAGAAUCAUGAAAGGAGUAUGUGAAUGACUAAAGUUUUAAAACAACUUACUUGGGUGUAUUUGCAUUUCAGACUUUAACUGUAGAAUGUUGAGUUUUGUCUCAUAGGAGGAACAUUUCAUUGAUCGGGAUGGAGAGAGAACCCCUGAAGUCUUUCUUUAUAGGUGGCCACCUACUUCACACUGCAGGAUUGUAAAUCACCUGCUUUAUAGAUGACUCACACCACACCAGGCUUUUUUUUCUUUUAGUUAAUGGUUACAUUUCAGAGAAAGUGAUUCCUCCUCUGUAGUAUUUAAUUUGAGGUAACUAUGAGGCUUGUAGCCAUAAGGUUCUUCUUUAUUAAAUGCUCAUGUGAGCAUGGACUAAUGCUGGUUAGAGUAUGUAAGACAGACAUGGUAUCUAAAGCAACCAGAAUGAAUAGUAGCAACCAUCUACCCAUAAAAUUAUGGAACAGAAAUAGAAUAAAUAGAAUAUUUGUUUCAUGUACCUAAAGUAGCACCUGACUCUACUUUUGAACUGUUUUUUUCCAAAGAACAGAAACAAUUAUCAAAACAAAUAGAAGUUUUCUCUGAAAUAAUAAUUUGGCUAGAACAAGUGACUGCAGUUUGUAGUGGACUUGAUGUGGCAGGAUUCAGGGGCUUGCUAGCAUUAGACUACUUGGUAGGAUCUUUUGGCGUUUCAGUUGGGUCUAUUUUCAGGCAGAGCUGAGAGAGGGAACUUGGGAGUAAGAGCAGCCUCAGGUGGUGGAGUUAUCAUCAAAAAGCCUGCAAAUAAAUGCUGGAGAGGGUGUGGAGAAAAGGGAACCCUUCUAUAUUCUUAGUAGGAAUGUAAAUUGGUGCAGCCAUUAUGGAAAAUAGCACCAAGAUUCCUUAAAACUAAAAAUAAAGUUUAUCAUAUGAUCCAGCUAUCCUACUCCUGAUCAUAUAUCUGGAGAAAACUCUAAUUCAAAAACAAACAUGCAUCCCAAUGAUCAUAGCAGCACUUUUUACAAUAGCCAAGACAUGGAUGCAACAUAAGUGUCCAUUGAUAGAUGUAUGGCUAAAGAUAUGCUAUAUUUACACAAUGGAAUAUUACUCAGCCACUAAAAAGAAGGAAAUAAUGCCAUUUGCAGCAUCAUAGAUGGACCUAGAAAUUAUCACAUUAAGUGAAGUAAGUCAGAGAAAGAAAAAUAUGAUAUCAUUUAUAUGCGGAAUCUAAAAACAUGGUACAAAUGAACUUAUUUACAAAACAAAAUAGACUCACAGACAUAGAAAACAACUUAUGGUUACCAAUGGGGAAAGGAAGGGAGGGGAAUAAAUUAGAAGUUUGAGAUUAGCAGAUACAAAAUGCAGUAUGUAAAAAUAGAUAUACAACAAGGUCCUCCUGUAUAGUACAGGGAAUCGUAUUCAAUAUUUUGUAAUAAAUAAUGGAAAAGAAUCUAAACAAUAAUGUAUAUCUAACCGAAUCACUUGGCUGCAGACCUGAAACUAGCACAACAUUAGCUAUACUUCAAUUAAAAAAAAAAAGAAAAA
rnacentral:lncRNA from 9 species